rnacentral:rRNA from 1 species
UACGGGGGGGGCAAGCGUUGUUCGGAAUUACUGGGCGUAAAGGGCUCGUAGGUGGCCAACUAAGUCAGACGUGAAAUCCCUCGGCUUAACCGGGGAACUGCGUCUGAUACUGGAUGGCUUGAGUUUGGGAGAGGGACGCGGAAUUCCAGGUGUAGCGGUGAAAUGCGUAGAUAUCUGGAGGAAUACCGGUGGCGAAGGCGGCAUCCUGGACCGGCAUUGACGCUGAGGAGCGAAAGCCAGGGGAGCAAAUGGG